rnacentral:tRNA from 1 species
GCAGUGGUAGUUCAGUGGUAGAAUUCUCCUCUUACAUGUUGGAGACCUGGGUUCGAUUCCUGGCCAAUGUA